UACGAAGGGAGCUAGCGUUGUUCGGAAUUACUGGGCGUAAAGCGCACGUAGGCGGAUUUGUAAGUCAGGGGUGAAAUCCCGGGGCUCAACCUCGGAACUGCCUUUGAUACUGCAAAUCUCGAGUCCGAUAGAGGUGGGUGGAAUUCCUAGUGUAGAGGUGAAAUGCGUAGAUAUCUGGAGGAACACCGGUGGCGAAGGCGGCAUCCUGGACCGGUAUUGACGCUGAGGCGCGAAAGCCAGGGGAGCAAACGGG
rnacentral:rRNA from 1 species